UACGUAGGGUGCGAGCGUUGCCCGGAUUUAUUGGGCGUAAAGGGCGCGCAGGCGGUUGUGUGCGUCACGUGUGAAAUCUCCCGGCUCAACCGGGAGGGUGCGCCGAAUACUGAGUGACUAGAGUGCGGGAGAGGAAAGUGGAAUUCCUGGUGUAGCGGUGAAAUGCGUAGAUAGCAGGAGGAACACCGGUGGUGUAGACGGCUUUCUGGACCGUAACUGACGCUGAGACACGAAAGCGUGGGUAGCAAACAGG
rnacentral:rRNA from 1 species